UUCGCAAUGCCCGAAAGGGUGACGAAGCGACGCCGCGUGGGUGAGGAAGGCCUUCGGGUUGUAAAGCCCUGUCAGGAGUUAAGAAAUGUAGAUUCGCUAAUAUCGGGUCUAUUUGACAAAGGCUCCAAAGGAAGCCACGGCUAACUCUGUGCCAGCAGCCGCGGUAAUACAGAGGUGGCAAGCGUUGUUCGGAAUUAUUGGGCGUAAAGAGCACGUAGGUGGGUUUGUAAGUCAGAUGUGAAAGCCUUCUGUUCAACGGAAGAAUUGCAUCUGAAACUGCAAGUCUUGAGUGUAGGAGGGGAGAAUGGAACUUCUGGUGGAGCGGUGAAAUGCGUAGAUAUCAGAAGGAACGCCGGUGGCGAAAGCGACUCUCUGGUCUAUUACUGACACUGAGUGUGCGAAAGCUAGGGGAGCAAACGGGAUUAGAUACCCCGGUAGUCCUAGCCGUAAACGAUGGGCACUAAGUAGAGGGGUUUUA
rnacentral:rRNA from 1 species